rnacentral:snoRNA from 1 species
CACAUGCUCCUUAGAUCCACCCUUGUGAUUUUAUACUUACUAUAUGAUCUGAUAGUAUGUUUUAAAUCAGCAACUUUACCGGUUGUAUAUCGAGGGUGCUUGAGUCAUUAGCAUGUAAGAGAAAUAUACCUGAGUGACUGAUGUUUUGAUUUUUAUAUACAACUAGUUCUUAGAUAAAAAUCUUAAUCAGUACCUCGGACAGU